rnacentral:rRNA from 1 species
UACGGAGGGAGCUAGCGUUGUUCGGAAUUACUGGGCGUAAAGCGCACGUAGGCGGCUUUCUAAGUCAGGGGUGAAAUCCCGGGGCUCAACCCCGGAACUGCCCUUGAAACUGGAUGGCUAGAAUCCUGGAGAGGCGAGUGGAAUUCCCAGUGUAGAGGUGAAAUUCGUAGAUAUUGGGAGGAACACCGGUGGCGAAGGCGACCACCUGGACAGAGAUUGACGCUGAGGCGCGAGAGCGUGGGGAGCAAACAGG